AGCGGAGGAAAAGAAACUAAAUAGGAUUCCCUCAGUAACGGCGAGUGAACUGGGAAAUGUCCAUCGCUAAAUCAUUUUGCAUCAAACAUCAUGAGGUGUAGCGUAUAAGCCGUGAUCUUUGAUCAGUUAUCUCAAACAAGUCCUCUUGACAGAGGUUCCAAAGAAGGUGCAAGUCCUGUACAUUGGGAUAACUGAUUGAUAUUUGCGUACUUUAGAGUCGGGUUGCUUGGGAUCGCAGCCCAAAGUCGGUGGUAAACUUCAUCUAAGACUUAAUAUUGCCACGAGUCCGAUAGCAAACAAGUACUGUGAAGGAAAGUUGCAAAGCACUUUGAAGAGAGAGUUAAAGAGGACGUGAAACCGGUGAGGAGGAAACGGAUAGAGUCGGCGUAUCUUGCAAGUAUUCAAUUACUUUAUUAUUGUGUUGUUAUCUCUGAGCUCCAGAUUGGGACAGAGGAAAGCAGCAUGAUUUAAUGUGAUGCAUUUACUUGUCUGGUGUGUGGGGGUAUCUAAGAUGGAUUUGCAACCAAUGUUUUGAGGCCAGCUUGCUGGUACCCAAACAUUGUUAACAUUUUUUAUCUUGGAUAUUCGAGUACGGCUUACGUGCAUUUUUUGUAUUGAUCUAAGUGCAAGUUACGGUCGCAUGCGACACGUGCUUUUCAUUUAGUUCGGUGCAGUUAAUGCUCUCGUACUCUCCCCCCAUGUAAAAGCCGGUCAUCUAUUUGACCCGUCUUGAAACACGGACCAAGGAGUUUAUCGUGUGCGCAAGUUUUUGGGUGUUAAAAACCUAGAAGCGAAAUGAAAGUAAAUGAUUCUUUAGAGUCUGAUGUGCAAUCUUUUUUCAGAAAAGUGCAUCAUGGCCCCAUUCUAACUGUUUACAGUAGGGUGGCGGAAGAGCGUACGCGGUGAGACCCGAAAGAUGGUGAACUAUUCCUGAGCAGGACGAAGCCAGAGGAAACUCUGGUGGAAGUCCGAAGCGGUUCUGACGUGCAAAUCGAUCGUCUGACUUGGGUAUAGGGGCGAAAGACUAAUCGAACCUUCUAGUA
rnacentral:rRNA from 1 species